rnacentral:rRNA from 1 species
CAACGGAUCUCUUGGCUCUGGCAUCGAUGAAGAACGCAGCGAAAUGCGAUAAGUAAUGUGAAUUGCAGAAUUUAGUGAAUCAUCGAAUCUUUGAACGCACAUUGCGCCCCUUGGUAUUCCGAGGGGCAUGCCUGUUCGAGCGUC